rnacentral:lncRNA from 1 species
UUAAUCAUUUAUUUAUGGCAAGGAUUAAUUAAUAUGUUAAUUAAUCAAACGAAUAAGUUCGUUAAAGACCUUGGGAUAGUUUUGGACCUUAAGGCCCAAUGGGCUUCGAACGUCAAGCCCAUUAACUUAAGUUGUAUGACAAUUUAAUGAAUAAAGAUUCAUUAAAGCCCAAAAGCCCAAAUCCCUUUAGGUGGCCGGCCAUGAAGAAAUGAAUUAGGGUUUUGGUUGUUUAGGUCACUUAAAGAAGUGACUAUAUAAAUGAUUUUAUAGCCAAAAUUCAUUAAGUGAUAAAAGGGUUUAUUUUUGGGGAAAAUUGGUGAGAAUUGUCUCUCCAUUUUCUCUCUAAAAAGGCCAACACCUUGGAGGGUACAUCUAGCAAUCCUACUACUCCAAGGUCACUCAUUUUCUUCUACAAUCAAACCUUGGUGAAGAGACUUAGAGGUUCCCUAUUUUGGGAACUUGGAGAAACCUAUUCUUCCAUCCAAAUCCAUGGAUCUAAGAAGUAAGGAAUGAAGGCCCUAUCUCUUUGGGUGAUUAGCCUUUGCUUAUGCAAAGAGGAAUCUACAAAGGUAUUAAUUUCAACUCACUUUGUUUUGAGUUGAUUAUUGGUUCACCAAUCUACUAGGCUUUGAAUUUCAUGGGUAAUGUUUUGUUUUUGAAUGCAUACAAGCAUGAUUCCGCCUUUAAUUUGUUAAUUGCAUGCUAUAGAUGUUAUUCAAAUGAACAUGUUUUUUCAAAAUAAUCCCUUCAAGUGGUAUCAGAGCCUAGGUCUAGUAGUUGGUGAAUCCUUUUGGGUUUUGUAGUUCAUAAGUUUGUGAUUUAAAAGUUGUACUUGUUACAAGCUUUAUUCUUGCUUCUUUGAAAGUAAAUUUUGUUGGAAAAUUUGCUAUCUCAAAUGUUGUAGAUGUUGUUCAUAUGAGCAUGAAUAUUGGAGCUAAAAUUUGGUGCCAUGCUUUUGGGAAAAUUCGGCCAAAUCCAAAGGGUGGAAUUUUGGGUUCUUGUUUGACUUGUUAAAAGUGUUUUAAUGUGUUCUUUGGAAUCCCUAAGUACCCUAGUUUGGUUAGAUGUUAUUUCCUUAAGUAAGAAUGGUUUUGGAAUGUUUUUGGGUGAAAAAAAAAAAGUUCAUGGAAAAAUUUGGGUUUUUCAUGGAUGUUCUUCAUUGUUCUUGAUGUUCUUGCCAAGAACAAA